GUCCAAUGGAGCUGUGUCUGUUGUUGAAAGUUAAAUUUAGCACAUUCAACAAAAUACUCAAACAUCUACUCUUGCUAUUUUACAGAGGAUAAAACAACAUCAGAACAUCCUAAUCUAGAGAAACUCUCAGCACCUGACCUCGUCUGCUUCACCCCAGAGCUUCAGAACCACAACAGAAUGGGUUAGACUGGAUCCAAAGCUUGGAAUUCUGGAAUCAUUGGGCACAAUUCAGGAAUACCACAUGGAUGGGGCACCAGUUGACUUGAAGACAAAAACCAGGUGUGUCUCGCACCUUGUCUCCCCCCAUCUGUUCCUCUGCGUCUGAAAAGGAGAGCGAGGGAGAGGAAAAGACGAGUGUGAAAGAAACUCCCAGAGGCAGAGAGGAGUAAAGACAUUCCGGAGGUGUGAGUCUGUCCUCACGCCAUUCCUUCAUCAUUCUGCUGCUUGUCUUCUCCCAACUACUUCUGCAGCAGCCCAGGGCAAAGAAUGACCCUGAAACACACACACACAUACACACACACACACAUACAUACACACAAAUGCACACACACACACACACCUGGAAUUGCUGAAUUGAGACAUCAUCUGUCAGAAAUGCUUAAAGCUACCUACUGGAAGAACAAAUUACACACUCGCAAAUGGCACAUGUGCACCCACACACACACAUACACUUGUUUAUAUGUCUAAUGAGGACGUUGGGUCCUAUAUACAGACAGCACACUCUGCAAAAUUGAAUUUCAGAGAAGUUGCAACACCACUGAACUUCCCAUGAACUUCCCACCCUAUAUAUUUUUAUUAUCUUAAUGUAUUUUGUCCACAUUUUGGGCUCACUGCAUUUAGUCACUGAAAACGAAACUGGAGAUAAAUAUAAAAUAAAAAUAAUAAUUUUCAGUGUUGUCAUGUGCACAGGAAAAAGUUUUCAGUAUAUGAAUAAAUAUAUAAAUGCUGCUCUAUUACAAACAUAUAAUGUGCUAUUUAGAUUUAAAAUCCAUAAUUAUGAUUCCUGAAUCACUGGUUUAAAACCCAGAUCAUGUUUUUGUCAUCAGCAGCCAGAGUCAGAGAGAACCUCUAUCGGACCUGCUCUCUCUGGGUGGGUGGAUGGCACUCUCUCCCCUUAUCACUUCUAGUGUGAUGCCAAUCAGUACAGUUGUCUCCUAGCUGAUGUCUCAGAGCUGGGUUGCUGUGCUUUCCUCCAGCCUCCACUUUCUAACAGCUUUAACAGUAGGUGUAGAAUUGUGCCGUUAUUUAAUAAUGUAGUUGUGCAGAUUGUUGGAGACUUUUAACUAGUAUCUCUAACCCCACUUUAUUAUUAUUAUUCCAUUCUAUAAUUAAUGUUUGCCCACUUUCUAUCUAUAUAUAUAUAUAUAUAUAUAUAUAUAUAUACCGCAGACAUGUGUGUAACAACCUAUGCAUUGUAAGUAUGGGUAAAAGUGUACUUUUUGUGUGUUAACCAUUAUAGUGCACUGUUUCUGGGAUAGGUAGGGAGUGAUUUAGAACGCAGUAAGCCACCGCGCUG